AAACAAGGAUUUUCGCGCUGUAUGGUGGAUGGCUUGGCUCAGACACCGAUGAAGGACGUGGCAAGCUGCGAUAAGCCCGGGCUAACCGCAAGCAGGUUUUGAACCCGGGAUUUCCUAAUAGGACUCCUCUUGUACUCCCGGAAUUUAUUCUGGGAGAGGGGACGCGGAGAAGUGAAGCAUCUCAGUAUCCGCAGGAAAAGAAAUCAAUUGAGAUUCUGUUAGUAAGGGCGACUGAAAGCAGAGUAGGACAAACCGAAGCUGCGCUGAAAAGCGUUAGCGAUGUGGGGUUCGGACCAGUGCUUGGCCCAGCUCCCUGAUCUGAAGUUCCCUGGAAAGGGACGCCACAGACGGUGACAGCCCGGUAAGACAAAGGGAGAAGGUUAAUAGCUGGUAUCCAGAGUAUGGCUGGUUAAAUUUCUAGCCAGAAUGUGGGGGACAAUAACCUCCAAUCCUAAAUAUAGUCUGAGACCGAUAGCGUACUAUGUACGGUGACGGAAAGCUGAAAAGAAUCCUUAACAGGAGAUGAAAAGAUCCUGAAACCAUACAGUUAUAGGUUGAUAUGGCCUGUAGUAUCUGUUCCGAAGGAAACGAGGAACAGUUUCAGGUUAUAUCGUCCGUUUUGAAACACGCGGCAAGGAGUUUACCUCUGUGGCGAGCCGGAAGGCAUAGCGAAAGCGAAUCUUCCGCAGCCUUGCAAAAGGCCAGGGAAGUGGGUAUGAAAGUGCCCAAGUCACUGGGGUAAGACCCGAAACCGGACGAUCUAGCCCUUGGCAGUGUGAAGUCCUCCGAAAGGGGGAUGGAGGCGCGUUAGCAGUACUGAGAUUCAAAUCGUUUGCGUGACCUGGGGCUAGGGGUGAAAAGCCAAUCGAGUUCGGUGAUAGCUGGUUCCUCUCGAAAUGGGCCCCAGCCCAGCCUUGCUUGAGACAGGUAGAGUGGUAGAGCUACUGAUCAGGUAACCAAGGGGAGAAAUCCCCAGUUGCUUUGUCAAACUCCGAAUACUUUACCGUCGUAGAAAGCAGGAGUGCGGAAACGGGGUAAGCUCGUUUUCCGAAAGGUAGAGAAGCCUUCUCAGGGUUAAGGUCCCUAAAUGCUUGUUAAGUGAUGAAGAGAGUUCCUAACCACAAACAGUGGGAACGUUGGCUUAGAAGCAGCCAUCGCAUAAUGAGUGCGUAACAGCUCACCCACCGAGGUUAGGUGCCUCGAGGAUGGACGGGACUAAACAAGCUACCGAUACCUUGAUCCUCCCUCUUAGAGGGAGCGAAGUAGAGAGGUGUUUUAUGAGGGCAGAAGCUUUUUCGUAAGGGAAAGUGGACCUCAUAAAAACAAGAAUCUUGCUGAAAGUAACAGCGAAGUAAGGUGAGAAUCCUUACCACCUAAAGGGCUAGGGUUCCUCAGCAACGGUCAUCGAGAAAACUACUUUAAUAGUGAAAACAAUAAAUCGCAUGGAUUCCAAAAAAAUUCUGGAAAUUGUUAAAAAAUGGAACAUCAAUUAUACUCCGGAAUUUCGCGGAUUUCGUUGUGCCAAAUGCCAGAAAAAAAUGCACAAAGCAUGGCAUAUUUGGCUUAAUGAAGGCGGUUACAAAAUUGAAGUUCAUUUCUGCAGAAAAUGUGGAAAAGAUAUUGGACUUAAGUGAUGUGGUUUUCUCGGCCGAAUCGGCUGAGGGUUAAUGGCAAUAGGAACUUUAUAUACCUGGUAGCACAAUAAAUAACUGAUGAUAUAUGGAAAUAUUGAGGUUAUUGCCCCCUGAUACAAGAGUACAACUACAAAACUAUUCGGAAUUGGAGAAGCUCAUAGACACCCAUAGAAAUAAUAUAGAGAAAGUCCUUAAGCGUUCAAAGCAACAAAUUUCUCUAUAUAAAAAAGGGAAAACGAAACUGAGCAUAAAACAACUAAGAAAACUGUCAGAAAUUUUCAAUUUUAAAUGGGAGACUAAUAUCGAAAAUUUCGGUCUUGAAGCUUCUAAACAUCUCAUCAAAUUACCAACAGAAAUAAAAAUUUCUGAAAAUUUAGCGUGGCUUCUAGGCUUUCAUUCGACGGAAAAUUCAGAAACACCUCACUCAUUUGGUAUUUGUAAUUCAGAUAUCAGGUUAGUGAAAAAGGCAAUAGAUGUCAUAAAGGAAAUGAAAUUCCCAGAAGAACUCAUAAAAAUAGAGGUCAGAUAUACCAAAGAUAUUGAUAUACAGAAUCUUAUACAAGAAGUUGUCAAGACUUUGAGUAGAGACGCGAAAACAGUCAACACAAGGAAGAUGGAAGAAAAAAGUCUCACAAAAAAACCUUUGUAUACAGCUCGUAUAAACUCAAGACUAAUAAAAGAAAUAUUUAACAAUAUGCAUAAUACAAUUCUUGGGCAUUUCAGUAAAUUUCCACUACCAAUUCAGAAAAGUUAUAUCAGAGGGAUUUAUGAUGCAGAUGGUUGGUUCAACAAAGCGAAGAAGAUUAUAGUUCUUGCUCAAAAAGAAGAAGAAACCAUAGAUUUUGUUUAUGGUGCUUUAAAGAGAUUUGGAAUACGAACAAGGAAGGAAUACUGGAAAUAUAGAGAUUAUCAUGUUUGUGUUAUUGUUCAUGGUAAACAAGGGGAAAAUCUAAAAAAAUUCAUCAAUAUUAUUGGUUUUUCUCAUCAAGAAAAAGCUAUCAGAAUGAAGAAAUUCCUAUUGUCAGCUUAAGUCGGUCCUAAGGGUUGCCCUAACUGGAGCAACUCGAAAGGGAACACGGUUAAUAUUCCGUGACUGAAAGAAUACGUGCGGCGACGCAAGCCAGGUUCCUGACGCUUUGGGAUAUGCCAAGUGCAGUCAUGCAUUUAAAUCAUGAAGCCUUCUGAGUGUCGUAACGACGAGAAGAAGGUGAAGUGACGAAGGCCGCAAGGUUUGGCUGAUUCCUGGAGCCCGUGAAAAGGGAACAGGGAAGAAUUUCUUUCAUCCGUACCGAGAACCGUCUCUGGUGCCCCUCGCUGAAAAGGCGAAGGUGUGUUAGGAGAAAUCAGUCUAGGGAAUUCGGCAAAUUAGCCCCGUAUCUUUGGUAUAAGGGGUGCCUACUACCUUCCUUCGGGAAGAAAAGUAGGUCUCAGUAACAAGGGGGUUCCGACUGUUUAACAAACAUUUCGACGUUCUUAAGGAACGUCUAUCUGGGUAACAAACGUAGGGGGCUGCUAGUCCGAAAGGAUUUGUAUAGCUCCUGAGGCCUGUCCAGUGCGGGUGUGUGAAUCCUGGUUUCAACCGGGUUAAGCCCCCGUAAACGGCGGCGGUAACUCUGACCGUCUUAACAAGCGGUCAAAUGAAAGCCCGAUAUGAUGGGCAACGCUUGAGAUAUAGGUAGCGUAAAGUCGUUAAGCUGGAUAACAGCAAAGCCAUGCGUAAUCCCUUGUCGAUUAAUUGUCGACCUGCAUGAAUGGCUCAACGAGAUCCCCACUGUCCCAGACUGAUGCCUAGUGAAAUGAACGUCCUGUGCAUACUCAGGAGACUUCUAGUGGGACGAGAAGACCCCGUAGAUCUUUACUACAGUCUGUAGUUGUGGUAUAGGAACGGCUGUAUAGAGUAGGUGGGAGCGCAGCACCCAUUUCGUUAGGAAUGGGGAAGGCGAAAGUGUAACACCACCCUGUUGUUUCUAUACUGCUUACCUUUAGGGGAACAGCUGCAGAUGGGUAGUUUGGCUGGGAGUCUGUUAGGGUUAUUACUAUCUAUCCUACCAGACCAGCAAGCGGCACGCCCUUGACAGGAAAUCAAGGGCGCCCUAAGGUCACCUCAUCGAGGUCAGAAAUCUCGAGUAGAGUGCAAGCGCAAAAGGUGGCUUGAUAGGAUCCCGGACAACAGAUCUCUUCUGUAAGGAAGAUUUCGGUUAUAACGGAUCCUAACACGAAAGUGUGGGCUAGCGACCCCCUGUGUCCUCAUUAUUGGGGGCCAGGUUCGCCAGAAAAGUUACCUCGGGGAUAAUGGAGUCGUGGCGGGCGAGAGUUCCCGUCUAGCUCUUGGACUUCUCAUUAAGAUUAAAAGCACCAAGCGCGUUGGAGAAUAAAUCGACCUCGUACAUUGCUUCUCCGCCGUCGGUUCGGCUCUUCCUGGACAUGCAGCAGUGUCCAAGGGUGGAGGUGUUCACUCAUCAAAGAGCCACGUUAACUGGGUUAAGUACGGUGCGAACCUUUUGCGGACUUGUCCGCAUUUGGGCAUAAGCCAGUACGGUCUUUAUCUACUAGAAGUGUCGAUUGCCUGAGGGGAGGAUACAUUCAGUACGAAAGGAACAAUGUGUUGUGGCCUCUGGUGUAUCAGUUGUGGAAGCACUGCUGAGUAGCUACGCCAUCGUGGAUAAGCGCUGAAGGCAUUCAAUAGUUUAACAGCUUUUGUUUUUGGCUCAAGCUGUUGGCCUAACUAAGCGCGAAGCCACCCCCGAAAAGAGGCAGUCAUUGCUCAAACUGCUAGGCGACUAGCGGCGAAGGCAGGAAGGUCCCGUAGACUACGGGUUUGAUGGAACACGGGUGUACGCACCAAGGCAACGAGGUGUUCAGCUCAGUGUACCCAAUCCCUGACAAUCCUUGGUC
rnacentral:rRNA from 1 species